GACGAACGCUGGCGGCGUGCCUAACACAUGCAAGUCGAACGGACAGGCGCUGCUUGCAGGGUACUCGUGUGGCGAACGGGUGGGUAACUAGCGGGUGAUCUGCCUAGCUAUACGGCUUAAGCAAGGGAAACUGGCUCUAAUAACGGACAGGUGAUAUUUUUAGUGUGAUGGUUGGAAAGUUUUUUCGGUGUUGGAUGAGCUCGCUGGCUAUCGGCUCGUUGGUGGAGUAAUGGCCUACCAAGGCGGCGUCGUGUAGCCGGCCUGAGAGGGUGGACGGCGACAUUGAGACUGAGGGACGGCCCAGACUCCGACGGGAGGCAGCAGUGCGGAAGAUUGCACGAUGAGCGCCAGCCUGAUGCAGCGGCGCUGCGUGGGGUAUGACUGCCUUCGGGUUGUAGACUACUUGCGCUAGGGACGAAGCUUUUUGUGACGGUACCUAGAUAAGAAGCACCGGCUAACUACGUG
rnacentral:rRNA from 1 species